rnacentral:misc_RNA from 1 species
UGUCGAAACUAUCGGAGGAG